rnacentral:rRNA from 1 species
CCUACGGGAGGCUGCAGUGGGGAAUAUUGGACAAUGGGGGCAACCCUGAUCCAGCCAUGCCGCGUGUGUGAAGAAGGCCCUCGGGUUGUAAAGCACUUUCAGUGAGGAAGAACGCCUGGUGGUUAAUACCCAUCAGGAAAGACAUCACUCACAGAAGAAGCACCGGCUAACUCCGUGCCAGCAGCCGCGGUAAUACGGAGGGUGCGAGCGUUAAUCGGAAUUACUGGGCGUAAAGCGCGCGUAGGUGGCUUGAUAAGCCGGUUGUGAAAGCCCCGGGCUCAACCUGGGAACGGCAUCCGGAACUGUCAAGCUAGAGUGCAGGAGAGGAAGGUAGAAUUCCCGGUGUAGCGGUGAAAUGCGUAGAGAUCGGGAGGAAUACCUGUGGCGAAGGCGGCCUUCUGGACUGACACUGACACUGAGGUGCGAAAGCGUGGGUAGCAAACAGGAUUAGAUACCCUGGUAGUC